GGUAAUCUGGGUUUUCUUUAAUUCUUUAUUCCCUUUCAAUACCUAUGUAUGCAAACUUUAGUGCUCUUGAGGUACAUGAACAACUUUCUUUUUCCUAUAAAACAAAAUUUAAGGCAACACACAAUACAAUAUAUUCUUGAAGAUCUGUCAAACUUGAUUGCAUCAUCUUCAAUUUAUGUUCCGAAUUUUCUGAUUGGAAACAAACUAAUGCUAUUGGACCUUGCCUUAAAUUAUGUUGCAGACACUUUAAACUCAAAAGAAUAAACCCUAGGACGAGAUAAGCACCGCUAUGAGUUCCUCUGAGGUUUGUUUUUGCUUCCCCUUUGUCCCCUCUUUCUUGUCACUGCAAGGAGAUAAGCAACAUCGUCAAUGUUUGUUCAAUUUGAUUUAGCCAAGUAGCAGACAACUCAGAUGUUGCAAAUUCUAAGGACGGUGUUCAUUUGGCCCUAAAUCUUGUUCUGCAACUUUGACCAUCCAACAUGAUUUGGAUACAAUUUUGCCUUGCUAAUAUUGUGGACUUCAUGAAAGGGUUAGUUUUUCCAUGCUACUAGCUUGCAAAUAAUUCCAGAUAGUUUUCAAUUACUGCAGAUUGUAUAGUAUAAAUUUCGAAACUACUACACUUCUACUAUCUUGCGAAUUUCUUAUUUUUAUUUCUAAAAUCUUUGGACUAAUUUACCCUAACAAUUCUAAGUUGCUCCCCGUGUCGCCACCCCAGCCACGUCUCCUCAAAUCUGCCAUUGGUGCACCUCAAUGCCACCUCACCUCCUCCCCCUCCCAUUGGUCCAUCUUAGCCUGAUUGGCUGAUUCCCUUUGUGUGGCCAGGAGCAGCCCACGUCGGCCUCCACAAAAACAUCUAGCGCUCUCCCCACUCCUCAUAAAAAAAUAGCAUGACCUCCCCAUCCUCACUCUCGAGCCCGAGGUGGAGGCGACAAGACGACAGUGCCCCACGGGCGGUGCGGCCGAGGCAGGGGCGACGGCAUGACGACGCCCCAAGCCAGCGCAGCGCUAGCCCCCUCCUUCUCCGUCCACUGUGCGUAUAAGUCUCGGCAGUCUCUUCCCUUCCAUUCUCUCUCUCUCUCCCCAUCCCUUCCGAUGCGGACAGGGCAGUGGCACAAGUGGACCUCCACAAUGGCUGCCACUCGGCACGAUGACCGCGGCCCUUGUUCUCAUCCACACCCCCCACGCGUGACGUACGGAGCGACAGCGGGCCCCCAACGUGGCGGCGGUGGCGGUGGCGAUGGGGUGACCUAGGGUUUUGCCCCGCCGUAGGUGGCAGCGACCCUAGUGUGGGUAACAUACCGGCAUAGUUCCGACCUCGGCUCCGAAUCGGCCGACACGCCAGCACGGGUGGUUGCACAUAGUCCAGCCCGAUGUAACACAGUGCACUGUGGUUUGCUUGCCUUCUAUGCCCCUCUGCUAGGUCCGUGCUCUAUAGGUGAUGCUGCCCUGUAUCAUUUUUGGCUUCAUUUGUACCUUCAUGAUGUUUUGGAUAUUCCUUUCACUGAUACACGACGCUUGUGCUUGAGGAUGUAGGGUUCUUUAGAGGUUCUGCUCAAAUAGUCUAAACAUGACUCCUGCAGAAUUUCUCACCUGGGUAAUAUUUGCAGUCUAAUGCAGAUUAAACAGUUGCAAAUCUAAAAGCAUUAUCGUAUUUUAUUUCUUAGAUUAAUUCUAUUUGUCAGUGUCAGCCAACCAACACAUGUAUGUACACAUGCAAAUCUAAACAGCCAACCAACACAUGUAUCUAGACAUGCUUACACAUCUUCGGUCACGUAAUAAACUUCAGGUUUUCCUUACUCUUAAAUUUACAUACUUCACAGUACAAUAAUUAAACAUCAAAAUACUAUGUACACUAUUUCUACCUGAUGGAAACAACAGGGUUACAUGAUCUUACCCACACACUUCUUUCUGUCUAUUCUUCAAUAUUGUGUUCUUGGGAAUUUGGAGCACAUCUUCCUUCUGCUUCAUGCUUGCUGAUGCUCCUUUCCUCUAUGCUAUGUGAUGUAGGACCUCAACCAAGAGGAUCUGCGUAGACUAAUAAGAUUGGAAGGUGUGUUGGUGAGUUUCUUUCAUUUUGGCUGUUGUGUCUUUCCUUCAUAUCUUUUCUAGAUGCACAGAAUGGUGUGGAUCAGGAUAACAUUAUCCUCUUGUGCAAAAUAAAUUUCAAUUGAUUAGAAAUCUGUUUGGUCCCAUCAAUGAUAAGUAAUCAAUACAUAUUAUCCAUAGGCAUCCACAUGACCCUUUUUGUAUCUUUCCUUUUUUCACAUGUGAAGUGCUUUCUGAUUCUGAUUACGUAUUAUGUCUGCUGCUAGGCUCACUCAUGUUUUUCCCCUUUGUUGCCUUCAAGCAUGGUAUGCACAACAGAGGACCUACAAAUAUGUCAGCAGCUCCUACUUAUCCCAGUAGGAUCUAAUCUGACCUACUAACCAUAUACUCUGUAUAGGAAUUUGAUAAAAAUGGAUCUUCCCUUUCGGAGUAACGGUUUCGAUUUUUAGAUAACAGGGACAGACCUAGGUGCCGCAAUAGAUACUAUAUAUAUGGUUAUGGCAAUGAGAGCCAGGAUGGAACACUCGAAUUAAAAACAGGUCUAUCUAGCCAUUCAACAACCAGAGAUUGUCCCAUUUUAUUGUUUUUCUGAAUUCUGAGUAAGGAUCCUUUCCUCGUUUGGUAUUCUGUUAUGAAUGUUAGGUUAGUUUUCUUUGCCUCGUAUGCAAUUCAUAAUAAAUUUUUAGGUGAAUAUAGCUGGCCUGUUGGUUGGCGUUGUUCAGUAUGACUGGUGCUCUUGAUUUGAGAAGACUCUACAACAUUGGCAACAUGACAAUUGGAAUGGUUCCUCCACUACUAAGUUCCACAUCUCAUGGACAUUCAUAGCAAUAUACUCGAGCACAUCAUCCUAGAGAACAAUGAAAACAAGCCUUCCCUGCAUAGGGCGCCAUCAUGAUGAGCUUUCUGUGUGGCAGACCGUCGUCGACACGAUUUUUUUGGCUAAACACCGCACGUAGCACAGCCCUAGCCCAGCUUCAUCCUCCAAGCUGCACUGGCCGCACCUCCUCUAGGUCUAACCCCGCCCUGCAUCUAUGCAAGCCAGCCAUGAAGGAUCGAUCAAGUAUGACAGCAAUUGGCUAUCGCCAUGGGCCUACAAAUCAAGUUCACUUGGUCAACUUCCCUGAUCCCGCACCGACGGCGCUGGCUUCGUCUUCAGUCUUCACCACCGAAACAGAAGGCACCAUCCGCAUUGUUCCAUCGAGAUGAGCGGCGGCCUCGAUCACAGCUCAUCUACAUAGGGACGAGGGGCUAGGAUCAAGGACGACCUGGACUAGGAGCAAGGAAUCAAGAAUGGCUGAUGGCUUCACGUCACUCUCUAUGAUUGCUAGAUAAUGGAGAUGUUGUCAGCUCCUGAGAAGCAUCACGACAUGAAUGAGUCACGCGCGUACGUCUAAGCGCGAUCAAUGAGGGCACUCACGCAUCCGUACUCCCCAACAGCGUGCAUGAUUGGUGGCCAUACGAGAGGAAUAGAUGCAAACACACAGGGCGCAGGUGCCAUGACGUCCGGUGUCCACAGAAGCUGUAGGCACCUGCGGACUAAAGUCAAUGAGAAAGUACGUUGGUGAUCAGAAGGAGUUGGCAAUCAAGAAGAAGUAAUCCGUUGAAGGUUUGGACUAGAAGAAGGAUCUAAGUUUAAGGCAAGUAUAGCAUUUGGAUUUUAUUUCUGUGACCAUGAUCCUGUGACUAGAUUAAUGUUAAGUAA